UACGGCCACAUCCCGUUGAAAUACCGGUUCCCGUACGAUCACCGAAGUUAAGCAACGUCGAGCCUGGUCAGUACCUAGAUAGGUAACCGCUUGGAAAUAACAGGUGCUGUAA
rnacentral:rRNA from 1 species